UACGGAGGAUGCAAGCGUUAUCCGGAUUUAUUGGGUUUAAAGGGUGCGUAGGCGGUUUGAUAAGUCAGUGGUGAAAGUUUGCAGCUUAACUGUAAAAUUGCCAUUGAUACUGUCAGACUUGAGUACAGAUGAGGUAGGCGGAAUGUGUGGUGUAGCGGUGAAAUGCUUAGAUAUCACACAGAACACCGAUUGCGAAGGCAGCUUACUAAACUGACACUGACGCUGAGGCACGAAAGUGUGGGGAUCAAACAGG
rnacentral:rRNA from 1 species